CGGUUUGAUAAGCUCCUGGUAAAAUCACGCAGCUUAACUGCGUGCCUGCUAGGGGUACUGUCUUACUAGAGGACGGGAGAGGUCUGAGGUACUGCGGGGGUAGGGGUGAAAUCCUAUAAUCCUCUCAGGACCACCAGUGGCGAAGGCGUCAGACUGGAACGUGCCUGACGGUGAGGGACGAAAGCCAGGGGAGCGAACCGGAUUAGAUACCCGGGUAGUCCUGGCCGUAAACGAUGCAUUCUAGGUUAUGGUGCGGCCAUGAGCCGCAUCGGAGCCGUAGGGAAACCGUUAAGAGUGCCGCCUGGGAA
rnacentral:rRNA from 1 species